UUGGAAAUAUUUGUUCGAUAAUACAGCUUUUUGUUGUAGUGUGUUGGAAAUGUUAUGAAGAAAAUCUAGACUUGAAUGAUAGUUGGCUAUCUUUGUUUGGUGAGUUUGCACGUUACAAGAUUGUGUGAGAUGAUUCUAUUGUAAGCCUUUGGCAAGAGCGAUACAGAUUGGCAUAUUUGUUUCCAAAGGUUUGUUACUUGCCAUGUUGAUGUUGGAUUGUGUUGGUGUGUUGAUCUUUUCCAUGUUGGUACGUGAUUCGUGUGGCUGCAUAUGGUUCAUGCACUGUGACUAUUUGAAUUCCGUGAAUUCCACAUGUGGUGGGCAAUGUAUGUUAACAGCCCCCUUGAGAUCAGUUGGGUUAUAGAGUGAAUGCCAAGCUUGUGCUGAAAGAGGAAGAAAAGAUCUUUACCCAGUGGUUUGGUAAGCAGAUCUAUAGUUUGCAACAAGAAGGGAACAUGCUUGGCUUCAAGAAGUCCUUGAAUGACUUCUUCACGAACGAAAUGGACAUCGAUUUCGACGUGUUUGCUAUGAGCAUGAAGAAGUGGAUUAUGUGUCAUGUUGAUGGCGCUCUUAUUGUUGUUGAGGAGGUGAGGAACAUGUAAAGUUGAGACCCCGAUGUCCUAAAAUAAAGUAAGAAUCCAAGUUAAUUAAGCCAUUUUGGGAGACAAAUUAAGCCCGAUAUUCUACUUGUACAAUGGAUCAUGCAACAAUUUUUUGUUUCUUGCUACACCAUGAGAUUAAAUUUGUCCCAAGGUAAACACAAAAGCCUGUUGUGCAACAUUCUAUUUCAAGGUAGGGUUGCCAAAAAAGUCCAAGUCGAGCUGCAUGGAUUGGGCCUGGAUAUGGGCUGAAAAAUAUGAAGCCCGUAGAAAAAGCCCGGGCUUUUUAAUUUAUAACUAAAAAAUAUAUCAAAUUAAAAUACUAUAUUAACAUUUUUUAUACUAGUAUUUACAGGUGGGCAUGUAUUGGUUUUGAUUGGGUUUUAAGUAAACCCAAAUCAAACCAUAAAAGUUUGGGUUCGAUCCAAACCAACUCAAAUAAUUUCAACCCAACCCAUUUGGAUUUGGUUUGGGUUUGGUUUGAAUUUUAUUAUCAAAAUAUUUUUUAUUUUGAUAAAUUUAAUUAUAUAAAAAUUAUAAAAAUUAUAAAUUGUUAUUAAUUAUUAAAUUGAUACUAAAAAAUGAAAAAAUAUAGUGGAUAAAAAUUAUAAAUAAUGAAUUUUACAAUAACUGAAUCCUUAAAUUAAAGAAUACUAGAAAAUUAAAAUAAAGUUUAAUCACAAAAAUCAUUAAUUCUCAAUAAAUAAGAACAUAAACACUAAUAAUAAACUUCCACAAACAUGACAUCAACAGGUAAAUUCAAAGAAAGCAAAUAAAAAAAAUUAUGUGAGUGCCAUUUAGUUAAAAUAAUAAAAUUUCUUUAAGUAAAAAAAUGUAUCCUUUGACUUAUAAUUAUUGAGAUGAUAAUUUUCUAUCAAAUGGUGUUUUUUGUUUUUCAAUAGGUUGAUUGCUCAUUAAUUUCAAGAUGGAGGAUCAAUGUCAAUAAAUCCCAUCAAAAUAAAAAAACGGAGUAUUAUUUAUGCUACAAUAUCAAUAUAGCACACAAAAUGUUAAUUUUAUUUAUAACAAGGAUUUAUAAUUUCUGUCACAAUAAUAUUUUAUCAGUGGCGAAAUAUUAUUUUUCAUAAUUAUUAAUUAUUUCCUUCCAAUGGGCUAGGUAACUAUGCCCUCAAAAACCAUCCUAACAUUAUUACUAUAAUUUUCCUUAAUUUAAAUACAAAAACAACAAUAUGGAUUUGGUGUUUUUCUUAUUACAGUUAGAAACAUAAAAGCGGUAAUUAUGUAAGUAUAAUAUGAGUUCAUAAAUUAAAAAAAAAAUGAUUUCAUUUCAUCAAACACUAAUUUCAUCUCAUUUAAUUAUUUACAGUAGCAUUUAUUUAAUUCAGAUUUGUUUUUACAUGUUGUUUUCUUUUUCUAACUGUUAACAAUUGAUCACGCCGUGAACAAUUUAAUAAUAACCUUUCACUUAUUUUUUUUUUCAUUUAUUUCAUUUGACAAGUUUGAGUUUUGGGGUUUUGUUCAUGACUCAUGGGUAAACCAUACCCAACUCAUAAUGAAAUGGUUUUUUUUAUAUAUAAAACCCACAUUUAACCCAUUUUCAUAAUUUACCCAACUCAAACCAUUUAAUUUGGUUUGGAUUUGGUAAACCCAUGAAUUGUGGGUUUAUGCCCACCCGUAUUAGUAUUUGUGAUUUAUUAUGUUGUGUUACUAAUAUCAAGCCUGGACUUUUUAAUUUAUAAGUAAAAAAAUAUCAAAUUAAAAACUCAAAUAUUAUAUUAAUAUAUUUUUUUAUUUAAGCAUAUAUUAUCUAUUUUGUUGGGUUACUAAUAUUUUAAAUAUUUGACUAUUAUUCUAUUAUGUAUAGAAUAAUUAUCUUUAAUUUAAUUUUUUUUACUUCAUUAAAAAUUUAUUUAAAAAAUAAUGAAGGCCCAAGCCUGCCCAGUCUAAGUUUGGAUGGGCUUUUGAAUGGCAUGGGCUUAUUCUCAACAAGUUGGGCCUUGGCCUAGGCUUUAAAAGGCUCAGUUCAAGCCUAUAGAAUGGCAGCAAGACAGCCUUUGUAGAUUUUUAGGGGCUUUUUGCUGUGUUCUAAAGUCAAAACAGCUCCUAGCAAAUUUUUGGACUAUUUUGUUUUGAAAACAUUUUUUAGGAUUGUUGAGAAAAGAGGAGAAUAACAUUAGUAUUUUUUUAGGAGGCUUGAUGAUGAGUUUGAUAAAUUUGGCAAGUUUUACUAGACUAAAGUGAAAAAAGUUUAUGUUGAGGCUGAAAGUUUAAGUGUGCAAAUGCACAUUUUGGUUGCUCUCGGGAUAAAAACCAAGAAAUUGGAAGGAGUUCUGCAGGAUUCUGUACAAUUCAAGCCUGAAGAACAAAAGCAUGAAAGCAGGAUGAUUUUGAAAAUUCUUGAAUAGUAAAUAUCUCAACUUGCUUUUAUACUAUAUCUGUGGCAUUAUUUUUGAAGUUUAACAAUAUUAAUCUUGCGAUUAACACUUUAAUGCAAACAACGAAUACACUCAGGAUGAACUUAAUGAGGUUCUUUUGGAGUGGGCUAACCAUUUUUUCCACAUCCUUAUCACAUUUGCAAAAUAGUUAGUAUGAGUAUGAAACUGUAGAUGGACCUUGUUAUUAGUUGUUACAAUUUGUUGAAAUUAAAGUUGUAGUGUUAAACUAUAAUGGUUGUUGUUAAGGAUUGCGGUAUAGAUGUUAUGCAUUUGAUAAUAUUAGGUAUUUUGAUUGAUUUUGGUGUAGAUUGGGUUGCUAGGUAUAGGUCAGAGUGCUGUUGUGCAUAUCGCUAAAAUUAGAACGCUGUUGGAAGAUGGUGGGUUGUUACGUAUGAUUUGGAGUAUUAGUUGGAGUGUUGCUGGGUAUGCGGCUGGAAUUAUGAUCAAGAUGCAUGAGCCUUAAGUGGGUGAAUUUGAGGUUGGAUUUUAAAGUUCACUGAAGCACUCAACUACUUACAACAACUCCUAAAUGCAAAUGAAGUAAUUACUGCCAUAAUAAUGGAUGUAUCGUUCAAAUUUUUAUUCUGGGACAAAGUCAUCUGGGUUUCAACUAUAAAUAAAAUCUGCAUUUGCAUAUAGUCUCAAUGUCUCCAAUGGCUGAUAUUUAGAAACUAUGUCCAGCUCAGUUUCGGUGUUGAUGCAUUGACCAAUUAAAUCAACGAUAAAUAGAUUACUAGCAAGAUUAACAUUAUGAUAACCUUGAAAAUAAUCGUCUGAUGAUUAUUAAUCCAUUAGAGGUAUCAUUUCUACUGAUAGAGAUGUUUCCAAGAAAACCAAGUUCAGUUUUUUUUGGUGAAAAUAAGUCCUGAAAAAUAACUUAGUACCUUCGCUUUAGAAUUGACAUUUGUGGAUCAGGAAUUGGCUUGGAACACAAGAGAAGGGUUUAGAUAAUUAGCACUCGCAAAUAAUACAACUCGUAUUAUUGAAAAAAUAAUAAUAAUAACUCGUAUUCUGACUUUGAUUGUUUACUAAGUGUGAAUUUACAAAAGUUAUGUACAUAAUGAAAUAGCUAGCUAUAAGAGAUUUAAUUACAUAACUACAGAAAUACAGCUGGAGUACAUAAUCUGCUUUCCUAAACUAUAAAAUAGGUAAUGAAAUACUUCAUUUUUAAUGAUACAUGAUAUUCUAAAUUCUUGAUACUGAAAUUCAAUGACAGCCUUGACUUGUGCAAGCUAUGCUGUGUGUUUUAACCGUUGGCGAAUUUUCUUUUAUUGAUCAUUUACAGCUUGCUUAUUAGUCCCCCUCAAGUUGGCAAGUGACAUAUGAUCUGGAUUCUACGGGUUUGUCAGAAAUUGCGAAACAUGACUUUCGAGAGAGCUUUGGUGAAUACAUCGACAAUUUCCAAGGAAGAAGGAACUAGUUUUGUCACCAUCGAAGGGACUAAUUUUUUCACCAUCAGACCUUCUGCAACCUUUCCUCGAAGAAAGUGAUAAUCAACCUCUAUAUGCUUAGAGCGAGAAUGGAAGAUAAUAUUAAUAGUCAUAUAUAAAGCACUUAAAUUAUCACUAAGCAAUUGAGGAGCUUGAGCAAGAGAAAUCCUUAUUUCACGAAAGAGAUAUGUGAUCCAUGUUAGCUCAGUUGCUGUCAAAGCAAGUGCCUCUUAUUCAACCUCUCCAUUGGGUCUAGAUACUGUAGGUUGCUUUUCAGAGGACCAAGAGAUACAUUUAAGACUUCGGGGUAACUUACUUUCAAUUCUCUGUCUAUGGUGUUAUCCCAUCACAAUCAAGUGGGAGAUAUUGGAAUUGGUGCCCAUGAUGGGCUAGAUAGGCCCAAGAAAGGAAACAUCUAGAAGCUUAUUUUAUAUAGAGUUUAAUAUGACUAUUGCAAGUCUAAUUAGACUUUGAGAGUUAUAAAGUCUUUUGAUUGACUUCAAUCACUCUUAUUAGCUCCCAUAUAAACAUACCUAUUGUAUCUAGAAUAGAUGUGUAUGAUUCCACACACAUGCAAUGUUUUAGAAUGAGCCAACUAUAUGCUUGAUUUCUUCAAGCUAUGCUUAUAUAUAUUUAAAAAUUGAGAGCUGCUUGCUUACAUUCGAUGGUCGUUCGGUGGCUAUAUAAAAUGCAAAAAAUUUUAACAGUUGCUUCAUUUACCAAAUUUGAGAACCGAGAGCAAACACAGGAAAAUGGAACAGAAAUAAGAAAGUGGAAAAGGGAAAAGAGAAGAAAAAGAAAAUAAGAAAAAUAAGAAAGAAGACGAAUAUGGGAAAAGAGAAAAAGAAAGGAAAAGGAGAAAAAAUAUUAGGGGAAAUAGAAUUAGAUAGUUAGAUCUACAUUAAGUGAGUUAGUGGGUAAUAGAUUUAUGAAAUUUAAGUAGUUAUGAUUUAAUUUGUCUUAUACGUAUAAGUUUUUAUAUUAGUUCUAAUAGUUAAUUUUGAAUCAUGUAUUUUAGGAGAAAUCCAAGAAUCUAAGAACCCACAGCAGCCCCAACGAACCCGGAGUGAAACAAGCUCUGUAGGGAUACUAUUAUUACUAUUAUGUAUUCCAUGAAGCAUUUAUGUUUAGUAGUAUGAUUUAAUAUAAUGUUAUGAUUACACGUACAAAUAUUAUAUGUUUGAUUAAGUUAUAAAAUGUGAUUGCCAAUCGCCAUAUAUGUGCCCUUCCUUAUAAACUUCGUGCAUGCAUAUUCAGAGUUAGACUACUCUGCCCGUGCGAUGUAGUUAAAUUCCAUUGGGUAUUGAGAGGUUUUUGCCCGGCUCUACUCAUGCGAUGAUGAUCCCAGUAAGUAUUGAGAGUUAUUUCCUUGGGUAUUAUUUGGUGCAGUUUUGUCAUGUAUGUAUUAUUUCCUAUGUUUACAGAUGCAUUACUUAUUAUUAUUAUUAUUAUUAUUAUUAUAUAUAUAUAUAUAUAUGGUUGCAAGCUCAUUAUUUUCGUAUUUAUCCCUUUUCCGCCAGGAUUUCGCAAGAUUUCGUGCUAAUCAAUUCUAGUCAAUUAAAGUUGGGCCACGAGACGUAUUGCCUCAUGACUUGCAUUUUGAGCACGUUUAUGUUACUUAUGUUUUUAUGUAUAUAUAUGUGUAGGGUAAGUAUAUAUAGUGAGAUAUGAAUUGUGUAAGUUUUUAAUAUAUAUUUUUGGAUGAGGUAUAGAGGUUGUUAUGUGUUUAUAGUGGAGACCAUUUUUAUAUAUUCAUGAAUUAAAUUUGUGCCGCGAGUUAUAGUUAUUAGAUCGUAUGAUUCACCUUGGAUCUGACAUAUAGGUGAGGCAAGCUGAGUCAUGUGAUAAGGGUGUGACAGAUAUGAAAACAUGAAGAAGAUAUUAGAAAACACAGGGAUUGAAAACAAGAGAAAAUGGCAGUGGGCUCUGGCAAUGUGAUACGAGGGGAUUUUCUUUUAUUAUAAUUAUCCUCCAACUAUAAACAUACAGUAGCGUGAUGGUUUUCUUUGAGAUUAUCCUUUGUCUCUAAUCAACUUGACAUGAUAUAACUUAUUGUGAUCUACUUCCGCAUUCAAGGAUCAAAAUGUAUGUUUUUGGAUAUCCUAUUAACUGUAUGUUGAAUAUGUACGAAUAUCAACACUUAUCGUUUUGAAGCUAUCAAAAGAUAGACUAUAGUUUGCAAUAAGAACAAUGUAGGUUGAGAUUUGUCAGUAGAAAGAACUUAGACAUAAAUUUUAAUGAAGAUGCCUAACUUUGAAAAUUUCAUAUACGUUUAGUGAACGAAAAAGUCUGCAUGUAUUUAAAAUAGCACAAAAUUUAAUGAAAAAAUUCUUCGUGUUCAGUAUUAACUCCAAUUGCAGAAAUGCAGGGUUGAGCAAUUACUAAUAUUCUGGUAGUUGCGACUUCUAGAGAAAUAUAAAUGUGGCGUAAACAAAUGCAAAGAAAAUAUGACACAAUAAUUUACGUGGUUUGGAGUAAGGCCUACGUCCAUGAGCAAACACUGGAAGAUAAUUCUACUAAUAAUGAAAAUUUACAAAAGUGGGAGAAACUCUCAACACCCAAAACUCCAAUACACUCAAAUGGAACCUCACUAGAACACUCAAGUGGAAGCUCUCUUAAAUCUCUUAAAUCGCUUCACUUGCAAUUGCUCUCUACUUCUCUCAAAUUGGGAUGCUUACAAUUGCAAAAUACUUCUCUAUUUAUAGAGAGCAUUUUGCAAAACGUUGAGUCGAAACUUGCAUUGCAUGUAUUAAAGUUAUGCAUAUUUGUCAACAAUUGCACGUGUAAUUUGUUGCCAUCUUCAAUUUUCAGCAUCAUUGUUGGUUGAUUUAUAUAAUCAAUUACUAUCAAUGCCAAUGUGCAAGUAUACACAACAAGUAAUAAAGUGAUAAGUAUUCAAGAUCGUCUCCACAGGGAUUGAUGUUGUUCAAAAUGCUUAAGCAAUCGCAAUAGUGCAAAUCAACUAAAGAUCGAAACAAGCAAUUGUCAAAUAAUUCUAUCGCAAUUAUUAAUUUCGAUAGAUGGAAAUAACACAAUACUGUAAUGAAAUAAACUAAGUUAAAUGUGUCUAAGGUUCAAUUGAGAAUAUAGUAGUUGAAUGAUCAAACUAUCCUAAUGGGGUGACUGUUGAUUACCGAAUUAGUACCAGUUGUUACAAUAAGUGCUACAGCACUGGACAGAAUAAAUUUGCAUUCGCAACUAUCGCAUGUUAGAAAUCUCGUACCUUUAAAUCUACUAACAAUGACCAGUUGCUCAUAUAUUUAAGGUAUGGCUUUAUAAUCCUUAAUCUCGCUGCCCUACAAGGUGAACACCUAUGUCUAGGAUAUCACAAAUCUUAAUUUCAAGUAUUGCCCUUAUGGGAUUUAAGUUAACCUAAUCCAGGAAACUUGAUUUAAGAACAAGUAAUACUCUAAUAAUGUUCUCUAAGACAUGCCCUUUUGCUGCUCUAUCUUAACUGAAACUAUUAAAUGAGUGGUCAACUGAAAUAACAGUUAUGCUCAUAAAAACUAUUAGAGUAUAAUGCUACAGCAAUACCAUAACAACCUAUAAGAACAGUCAAGAACCCAUUGGAUUAUUUGUCACUCAACUACAUAUAAAUUUAGUUCAUAUUCUAAAUGAGAAAAGUAAACUUAAAUAUACUGAUCACAGGAUACAUCCAAACAAUUUCAAAGAAGAAAGAUAAUAUGAGUUGAGCACGGUGAAAGACUAGAGAAUCUCCUCGGCUCUUCAAUGAUGUUGAACAGUCCUCCUCAAUCUUGAUCUUCUUCUUCUUCUUGCCUUUGUAAUUAUUUGGAUGGUAAUCUCUCUGCCACUUUCUAUGUGGUCCAUACCUCCUUUAUAUAGUGUAAAUUAGGUUAAAACCAAAACCCAUGAGCGUGCAUGUGUUUAAAUUAGGAAACAUGCAUAUCGUGAUUUCAUUGCUGACCCGUGCUUAAUUUUCUCCCGCAUUGCUCCCAGAUUGCUGCAGCACUGGUUGCUCUAACAUCCGCAACAACACUGUAUUAUUCCCGAUUGUACUUUUCUUCUUUUGUGGCCAUCUUCUUUCCUCCUCUUUCUCAUCUAAUGUCUUCACAUCCCCUCAUGAAUUUAAAACCUACAAUUUAAAACCUGUUUUUAGCACAAAUUACUAUGAUUCAAGCAAAACUUGUUAAAACUCAACUAAAAUGAAUGUUUAUGCAAAAGGUCACCAAAAUGUAAUCAAAACACAUUAUUUGCUCUCUAAAUGGCCUUUAUUCAAGUCUAGAAUUGAUGUAAUAACUCUCAUUUCCUAGAGUUAUCACACCUCCAAACUUAAACUAUUGCUUGUCCUCAAGUAAUGACACAUACUAACAUUUCCCACAAACAAACAUGCACACAACUUUAGCCCAUAGUAAAUCGGUUAUAGACUUAAGCUUCUUUCUGUCCAUAGUGUGUGUGUGCUUCCUUUUUUAUUGAAUUCCAGAUAUGCUGUAACAUCACUAAAGGACUGCAGAAAUUUCAACAGUGAUAUACUUUAUUCAUAAAAGGGGUAGCAUAAAUUUCACAUAUUCAAAUUGUGAUUGCUUUAACAUUGAUAAUCUGGGGGAUAAUCAACCUCCUCACUGUAACAUUUAUUUUUCAUGUGAAUGUCAAUCACUUGUAAUGAUGAUACCCAAUUACUCAAGCCAUGCCCAUAUCAGGGUUGCUGCAGCAAUAUCUGUGGUAUAAUCUUAUCUCAAGGUAUCUUUGACUCAAGGCUGAACAUGGGGCUCAUGAACAGACCUGGCUAUUCAAUGCCUUAAAUAUAUGACUUUUUUUUUAAUUAUAUGCUACCGGACUACUCAUAACUCUCGCUACCUUUUACACAUUUCUGCAUAUGAGGUGCAUACUCAGAUCUGGUUACUCAGCAACUUAAGCCAUUGGAGCAGAGUUUUAUUUCAUGAAUAUCACAGUAAAUCAACAUGCUUCUCCCUUCAAACUUAAGAUAUUUUCUAUUAUUUUGGCUUUGCUCUAGCAGUCUUAUACAACUCAAUCAAAGGCUAAGUGUUGGGAUAAAAUUUCACUUCUAUCUAUAACUAUCUCUACUUGGCAUUCUCAUAACUACUGUAUAGCACUCAAUUUAUCUUCAUUAGGUUUUGAAAUCCAUACACAAAUAACAGAUAAAAGAGCUUCACACAACACAAACAUAAACACAUACAUAAAACACAUGCAUUCGGAAACAACCCCCCCAAACUUGAGAGAUGUUGUGUCCUCACAAGCAAACAAAAUAAAGGCACACAAAUGGACAAAAAUUUUUUUUUUAGAACAAGAAAGAAACUAGUGAGAUAAGAGUACUCCCCUGUGGUGGGGACUGCAGCCCAUGACGGGAUGCUAUCAGCGCUUUUUAGAUGCACUGCGCAGCUUAUCCUUUGGUGAAGCCUUUGGGGAGGUGGCUGGCAACGUCUUUGUCUUUUUCGCUGCAGGGCUGGUGAGAGGAGUUGUGGCUGGGGUUGCUGUAGCAGUUCCUGUAGACGUACUGCCUUUUCGUUUGCUGGGUUGUCUUGGACUGGUGCGGAUAGGCUGGCUAGGAGUUUGCUGUGGAGGCUUUUGAGUCAAUGCGUCAGCUGCUUGGCCCUCGGCUAUGAUGGCAGCAAUUACCUCAAGUAGUUGUGUGGCUUGCUCAGAUGUAGGCAUAGCUCUGGCUGCUGCAGAAGCCAGCUCAACAUCGACUUGAUCCAUCUCAUCUUCAGAGGCUAGAGGUGUUGCCAUUUUUGCUUUACCCUUGUCAUUUCCUUUGCCUACAAAGACUGGAAUAGAAGGUUCCACAUCAAGGUCUUUAUUCUCCUCUUCUUGAAUAAUGUGCUGCUUCCUAGUUUUGGACUGGGUUGGGAUGGGUGGUUCCUCACGUUCUUGCUCCGAAUUAGCCUCUGCCUCUGAGGGUGAGCUAUCAGUCUCAGACUUGUCACCUUCUUCCUCAGGUGGAUCAGAUGGCUCAGCAUCUUCUGAGUCAACUUCUGCUGGUGGUUCAGUGGCAGCUUGUUCUGCUGGUUCAUUUGAAGCAAUAGCUUCUUCACUGGUUUCUGCUGAAGCACCUGUAGUGCUGGUGUCAAAAUUAUACUGCUGGAGCAGGGAAACAGGGAAGUUUUGGUGAGUACAUUUCAUAUACAAAGCAAAUUGGUGUAGUUGGCCAUCCAGGUGUUGUAGAUAACUCCAAAACCGAUCAGACUUGUCACAUUCUUCCUCAGGUGGAUCAGAUGGCUCAGCAUCUUCUGAGUCAACUUCUGCUGGUGGUUUAGUGGCAGCUUGUUCUGCUGGUUCAUCUGAAGCAAUAGCUUUUUCACUGGCUUCUGCUGAAGCACCUGUGGUGCUGGUGUCAAAAUUAUACUGCUGGAGCAGGGAAGCAGGGAAGUUCCGGUGAGUACAUUUCAUAUACAAAGCAAAUUGGUGUAGUUGACCAUCCAGGUGUUGUAGAUAACUUCAAAACCGAUCAUUUUCCCUCUACUGAGCUUCCACACAUUGAUUGAUAUUGGUGCUGAGUGACUGGAUGGUCUGUUCUAAGCUAAGAGUUCGUCGUGCUCCUGUGACAGCAGCUGGUUCAGUGGUUGUUGCAACACUCUCGCCAGCAACUCUCUCAAUUGUACGUGCCAUAAAGGCAUCCUCAUUCUUGACAUGAUAAUCGCUGGCUUCAAGACAAACACCUGAAACUACACAAAUGCUGGUGACAAGGGAAGGAAAUAAUAAGACAGCAGUUCGGUGAGUUUUGACUGCACACUCUCGGAUUUCUUUUAGAAAUGAUGCUACUCACAUCUAUGGAAAGCCCUAUAACAAGGACAUAUAGCAAAACCAAUCUUUCUUAUGAAACCGUAGUAGUGUGAGUGGUGGGCAUAAGCCUCGAUUUCAAAAAUUUCACCCACACCUUAGCAAUAGGUUUCAAAUCUAUCCUAUUAACUACACGCCCUUCCUCGUUAGCCCAUGAUGCCCUUCGAUGGUAAGAGUUGUAAAAAUGGUGGUCCACUUUUUCGGGGUUAACUUCUCACACAAUUUAGCAUACUCACAAGUAAUUUCAGCAGGUAAAUUAUAAAAAGCAUUGAUAACACGAGAGUCUAAUGGAACAAGUGUGUUUCUUACCCAGAUGUUACACUGAUCAGGUCUUACAGAAUUGGCAUAAAAUUCUUUUACUACCGACAGUACAGGAUUGCGAGGGUGUUUGCAAAACUCUAGCCAUCCUCGCUUUGCUGCAGCAUUAUGAAUUGUGUACACAAUUCCCGUGAGUUGGUCUGGAAAUUGAAACCCUUUUUCUUCUAGAAUCCUACGCGGCUUUAUGAAUUCUUCGUAUUUUUCUUCGGCGUGGUAACUCUGGAACCGUGAUGGAUCUUUGAGGCAGCUUGUUGUUUUCUUAUAUCUCGGCAUUGCUAUAGCAGUAACAAAUUAAGGCUACUGUUCCUGAGAGUAAAAAGAGAAGAAGAGGUUAAGAAUUAGGAGAGUUAGAUUUGUGGAGGAGAUGGUGAAUAGUGGCGUAGAGCACUAAGCACAGUGACUCCUUUUUAUAGUGGACUUGCAAUUGAAGAUAAAUACGAUAACUAAAGAUAAAUGAGGGAAGAAAAUAUUUUUAAAUUGAUGCACAAAUCCCAAAAAUAUCGGCUAGUAAAAUUUGGCAUUAAUUUCAAAAAUUUAUUAGUAAUUGCUAUCCAUAUCCAAGCGUCCAUCUGUCACGAUUUCAUCUCCAACGGUAAGUGAAAGGCUCCAGCUUUUAAUUUUUUGUAACGGUAAAAUUAGUUGCUGCAGCACCCAUUUGCUUAUUCCAACAACGGAUACAGACUCCAUACCAAAGCGUCUGACACGUGGUUUUGCCUCUGAAUUCUGCCACCAUACACUUUCAAUUGUCACAAUGGAAGUCAAUUGUCACACAUACUUUCCAUAAAUUCAAAUUAGUUCGAGCAUCUAAAAACAAAGAAAUCAAAUAAUAGCAAAAGUAAAUAAAAUGCAAUAAUUUGAAAAAAGAUAAUAAAUAGCUAGAAUGAAAUAACAAAAAUUUAAAUAAUAUGGUAAAAAGGGAGAGCUGUCAACUAAACCAAUGGAGGUCAAAAUUGGUUUGAAAUGGUUGUCUCCCCAAAGGGCUGCCUCCCAUAGAGCGCUUGAUUUAAGGUCUUUCAGCCUGACCUUCCUUCAUUGUUUAAUAGCUGGGUUCUUUAAGGAGUAACACCUCCUUUAAACCUUCUGCUGCUGGAUGUAUGUAAUGCUUAACCCUGUGUCCAUUAACCUUGAAUUCGUGGCCUGUUUGUUCAUCUACAAGAUCAACAGCUCCAUGAGGGUAAGAUUUUAACAGUUUAAACGGGCCAGACCAAUGUGACUUGAGCUUUCCCGAAAACAAUCUUAGUCUUGUAUUGUGGAGCUACACUAAUUGACCAAGGGUGAAUUUCCUGUGUUGAAUAUGCUUGUCGUGCCAGUGUUUUGUUCUCUCUUUGUAGAUUCUUACAUUUUCAUUUGAAAAUAGCCGUAAUUCAUCAAGCUCACAAAGUUGAAGCUUCUUUUGCUCUGCUGUAGCAUGCUUGUCCUAAUUUAGUUUCUACAGUGCCCAUUGUGCUUUAUGCUCUAGCUCUAGGGGCAAAUGACAAGCCUUGCCAUAAACAAUUCGGUAAGGAGACAUACCGAGUGGAGUUUUGUAUGCUGUUCUGUAGGCCCAUAAAGAGUCAUGCAAAUGUAAAGACCAAUCCUUCCUUGUUGGGUUCACCACUUUUUCUAAGAUCUUUUUAAUUUCUUUGUCGGACACUUCAGCCUGACCAUUGGAUUGUGGGUGAUAUGUUGUUGCUAUCUUGUGUCUGACUCCAUAUUUCAUCAUUGCUGCAGCAAAGAUUUUGUUGCAAAACUAUGUGCCUUCAUCACUAAUAAUUGCUCUAGAAGUACCAAACCUGGAGAAAACAUUUUUUUGAAGAAAAGUCACCACGAUUUUAGCAUCAUUGGUAGGUAAUGCUGUAGCUUCCACCCACUUGGAGACAUAAUCUACAGCAACAAGGAUAUAUAAGUUCCCAAAGGAUAGGGGAAAAGGUCCCAUGAAAUCUAUUCCCCAAACAUAAAAAACUUCAACUUCCAAUAUGUUGGUCAAUGGCAUCUCAUGUCUGCUGGUUAUGUUCCCUGUCCUUUGACACCUGUCACAACAUUUAACAAAUUCAUCAGCAUCUGUAAAAAUAGUGGGCCAAUAAUAACCUGAUUGCAUAACUUUGGUAGCUGUUCUGUGACCACUAAAAUGUCCUCCAUAUGCUGUAACAUGACAUGACUCCAGUAUAUGAGGUAUUUCUUCUGCUGCAACACAUCUUCUUAUUACUUGAUCUGAGCAUAGCUUAUGUAAAUGUGGGUCAUCCCACUGGUAGCUUCUAACAUCAUUAAGAAAUUUAUUUUUCUCUUGGAACUUCAGCUCAGGUGGUAGCAACCCACUUACUAGAUAGUUAGCAAAGUCUGCAUACCAUGGAGAUUCUGACUGCUGCAGCAUCUAUGCUUGCUGUACUACCAAUAGUUGUUCAUCAGGAAAAGUUUCAGUGAUGUCCUUCCUUGUCAAUGUACUAGUGUCUGCUUCCAACCGUGACAAGUGGUCUGCCACUUGAUUUUCAAUUCCCUUUCUAUCUUUAAUUUCCAGAUCAAAUUCUUGAAGCAAUAAGAUCCAUCUGAUUAAUCUUGGUUUGGCAUUCUUCUUUGAAAUUAAAUAUUUAAUGGCUACAUGAUAUGUGUAAACAGUUACUUUAGUGCCCACCAGGUAAGCUCAGAAUUUGUCAAAAGCAAAAACUACUGCCAGCAACUCUUUCUCUGUAGUGGUGUAAUUGAUCUGAGUUAGAGUGAAAGUUUUGCUUGCAUAGUAUAUGGAAUGAAAAACCUUAUCCUUUCUUUGCCCUAAUACUACUCCCACAGAAUGAUCACUAGCAUCACACAUCAAUUCAAAUGGUAAAUUCCAAUCUAGGGAUAUAACUACUGGAGCAGUGAUCAAGGCUUUCUUUAAUUCUCCAAAUGCUUGAAGGCACUCUUUGUCAAAGUGAAAUGGUUUGUCAUGCUCUAGCAAUGAACACAGAGGCUUGGCUACUUUGGAAAAACCUUAAUGAAUCUUCUGUAGAAUCCAGCAUGACCCAAAAAACUCCUAAUACCCUUUACUGAAGUUGGGGGUGGCAGUUUAUCUAUUACCUCUAUUUUGGCUUUGUCUACCUCAAUACCAUCCUUGGAUAUCUUGUGACCCAGUACUAUGUCUUCUUGCACCAUGAAAUGGCACUUUUCCCAAUUGAGUACUAAGUUGGUCAUCUCACAUCUUUUAAGAACUUCUUCCAAGUUGUGUAAACAAUUACUGUAUGUUUCUCCAAAAACUGAGAAAUCAUCCAUGAAAACUUCCAAAGUCUGCUCUACCAUAUCAGAAAAUAUAGACAUCAUGCAUCUUUGAAAAGUUGCUGGAGCAUUGCAUAACCCAAAUGGCAUUCUUCUGAAGGAAAAUGUUCCAUAAGGACAGGUAAAUGUAGUAUUCUCUUGAUCCUCUUGUGCUAUAGCAAUUUGGUUGUAGCCUGAAUACCCACCUAAAAAACAUUAGUAUUUUUUUCCAGCGAGUCUGUCCAACAUCUGAUCUAUGAAUGGAAGUGGGAAAUGGUCUUUCCUUGUGGCUUUGUUGAGCUUCCUGUAAUCCAUACACACUCUCCAUCCAGUCACUGUCCUUAUAGGAAUAAGUUCAUUCUUCUCAUUAGCCAUUACUGUUAUCCCUCCUUUUUUUGGAAGACACUGAACUGAGCUUACCCAUGAACUGUCUGAUAUUGGGUAUAUGACUCCAGUAUCUAACCAUUUAAUGAUUUCCUUCUUCACCACUUCUUUCAUAAUAAGAUUCAACCUUCUCUGGUGCUCCACCGAAUUGCUGGAACAGUCUUCUAACAGGAUUUUAUGCAUCUAUAUUGAUGGGCUGAUCCCCUUUAUAUCUGCCAUGGUCCAUCCAGUUGCUUUUUUGUAUUUUCCCAGCAAAUCUACUGGGCUUUGUUCUUGACCUGCAUCCAAAGUAGAAGAAAUGAUUACAGGGAGUGUGUUGUUUUGACCAAGAUAAGCAUACUUAAAAUGUGAAGGUAACAAUUUUAAUUCAAAACUAAGAGGUGAUUCAAUAGAUGGUAAAGUUAUUUUUACUUCCCUGUCUGAAAGAUUCAGGUGUUCAAUAACCCUGUUGUGCCUACUAAAUUGCUGUUUGUCCAUCCAAUCUGUUUGAAUUGCUGCAAUAUCUUCCUCUUCAACCUCUUCAAAGGUGGUGACUUUGUUAAGUACAUUACUGCAGCAUCUGUCUAUUCUUUCUGCUACAACAAGAUCCACUACACUUAGGAAAUUGCAAUCUUCUAUUUCAUCAGGGUUUCUUAUAGCCUCUAGUACAUUAAAUGUGACUUACUGAUCAUUCACUCGCAUGGUCAGCUCUCAUUUCUGCACAUCUAUCAAAGUCUUCCCAGUUGCUAGAAAAGGUCUGUCAAGUAUAAUGGGUACCUCUUUGUUAGCUUCAAAGUCCAGCACAAUGAAAUCCACUGGAAAAAUGAAUUUGUCAAUCUUCACCAGUACAUCCUCUAUCUUUCCCUCACGAUAUGCAUGAGAUCUGUCAGCUAAUUGCAGAGUGACAGUUGUUGGUCUGCACUCCUCUACUCCAAGCUACUUAAAUAUAGAUAAUAGUAUCAAGUUAAUACUAGCUCCCAAAUCACAAAGCGCUCUGCCAGCAUACCUAGUCCCUAUAGAGUAGGGUAUUGUAAAACUCCCUGGAUCUUUCAAUUUUUAGGGAAUUUUAUUAUGGAGCAUAUGGCUGCUUUCCUGUAUUAAAGCAACACUUUUAAACUCUCCCAGCCUUUUUUUUCGUGCCAAUAUAUCUUUUAGAAAUUUCACAUAAUUUGGCAUUUGCUCCAAAGCUUCACCAGUACAUCCUCUAUCUUUCCCUCAGGAUAUGCAUGAGAUCUGUUAGCUAAUUGCAGAGUGACAGUUGUUGGUCUGCACUCCCCUACUCCAAGCUGCUUAAAUACAGAUAAUGGCAUCAAGUUAAUACUAGCUCCCAAAUCACAAAGUGCUCUGCCAGCAUACCUAGUCCCUAUAGAGCAGGAUAUUGUAAGACUCCCUAGAUCUUUCAAUUUUGUGGGAAUUUUACUCUAGAGCAUAUGGCUGCUUUCCUAUGUUAAAGCAACAGUUUCAAACUCUCCCAGCAUUCUUUUUCGUGCCAAUAUAUCUUUUAGAAAUUUCAUAUAAUUUGGCAUUUGCUCCAAAGCUUCCACAAAAAGUAUGUUUAUGUGCAGUUGCUUCAGCACUUCCAGGAAUUUACUGAACUGCUUGUCUUGUUUUUGCUUCUGGAACCUUUGAGGGAAGGGUGGUGGAUGUCUAAACUACUGGUUAGAUUCAGUAGGUAUCAACUCUGUUUGUUUAAAUUGGUGCAGGUUGUGGCUACUGGUGUUGCAACUUCUUUUUCAGCAGGAUCUGGUUGAAUUUAUUUUACAGUUGCUGUAGCUUGGUCCCUUACAUCAGUGUCUUGAUGGGGAGUCUGCUAUAACAUGCUUCCAUUUUGAGUUGGUUUUUGAGCUGAAUUGCAUUCCAUCCCAUUUUUUGUCACCUCAAUUGGGAUAUCAACAUUCUUUCCAGAUCUCAAACUGAUUACUUUGCAGUGUUCUUUGCUCUCUCUCCUAGGGUCUUCUGUAUUGCUAGGUAAGCUUCCUUGAGUUCUGCUGCUCAUUGCUGUAGCUAAUUGUCCCAUUUGGUUCUCAAGGUUUCUUAAGGACACAGCUUGACUCUGCACAAUUGCUUUAUUCUUUGCAAUGUACUCCUUGAUUAGUACUUCUAAUGAAGUGAUUGGAUCCUGACUGACAUGCUUUUGCCCUUGACUUUGUUGAUGAAAACCAGGUGGUUGCGGUUGUGUGCUUCUACUUAGUCCAUUCAAUGCUGGAGUAUUUCGAUUCUGAUUGCUCCAUGAGAAAUUUGGGUGUUGUUUCUAGCCUGGGUUGUAAGUAUUUGAAUAUGGGUUGUUAUGAGGUUGUCGAUUGAAGUUACCCACAUAAUUUACUGAGCCUGGAUUUCCAAGACAAUUAUCAAAAUCAUGUUCUUCACCAUAGUAGACAUAAGAAAGUUCAGCAACUUGCUUUACUGUUGCUGGAGCAGAUAUCAUGGCUUUUACCAUGUUAGUCAAUGAGGUUACUUGAGCUGAUAAGGCUGUAAUUGCAUCAAUGCUAUGUACCCCUGCGGAUCCUUUUGCUAUUGGUUGCCUGGCUGAAGGCCACUGGUAAUUAUUAUUGGCAAUUCUUUCCAAAAUUUCAUAAGCUUCAGUGUAGGAUUUGGAUAACAGAGCUCUAUUUGCUGAAGUAUCCACCAUUAACCUUGUACUCGGAUUCAACCCAUUGUAGAAAGUUUCCAAUUGAAUGCAACAAGGAAUACCAUGAUGAGGAUACCUUCUGAGCAAGUCCUUGAACCUUUCCUAAGCCUCGUACAAACUCUCAUGUUCAAGUUGAUGGAAUGAGGUAAUCUCAUUUCGUAAUUUUGCAUUCUUUGUCGGUGGAAAAUAUUUCAUUAGGAAUUUAUCAGCCAAUUCAUUUCAUGUAGUGAUGGAAUCAGAUGGUAAUGAAUUUAACCAUGCCCUUACUCGAUCUAUUAAAGAAUAAGAAAAUAGCAUUAGUCUUAAGGCAUCUUGUGUUGCUCCAGCAAUCUUUAAAGCAUCACUUACUUCCAAGAACAAUUUAAGAUGGAGAUGAGGAUCUUCAUUAGGCAGUCCAUUGAACUGUCCCACUGUUCGUAACAUUUGAAACAUCAUUGGUUUUAACUCAAAAUUUACAGCGUCUACUUCAGGUCUGAUGAUGCUAGGUUGUACCACUUGUGAAGUUAGCACAACACUAAUGCACCGGAUCCCAUCAGAACUCCACAGUUAAGCGUGCUUGGGCGAGAGCGGUACUCAGAUGGGUGACCACUUGGGAAGUCCCCAUGUUGCACCCCUCAUUUUGCUUUUCGGUUGGUUAAUUAUCUUUUCGCGGCCGACUCCUUCACUUUUGCGUGCGUUCGCGGGUUUCGAUCGCCGGCACGGGGUCUCCGGGGCACCUCCGACCCGCCGGAGAGCGUGAAAAGUGCCCCGGAUGGGUGAAUCGUGCGGCCGCGUCAGGGCAGGCGAGGGGGGUACGGGUUCAGUAGAUUUUCAGUGCACAUGCUAAUGGGUGCAACCAUACUAGCACUAAUGCACCAAAUCCCAUCAGAACUUCGCAGUCAGGCGUGCUUAGGCGAGAGCAGCACUAAGAUCGGUGACCUCUUGGGAAGUAAACGUAUUGCACCCCUCAUUUUGUCUUUUCGGCUGGUUAAUCCUCUUUUCGCGGCCGACUCCUUCACUUUUGCGUGCGGUCGCGGGUUUCGAUCGUUGACGCAGGGUCUCCAGGGCACCUCCGACCCGCCAGGGAGCGCGAAAAGGCCCCCGGAGGGGUGCAUCGUGCGACGGCCGAGUCAAAGCAGGCGAGGGGGGCAUGGGUUAAGUAGAUUUGUAGUGCACAUGUUGAUGGGUGCGACCACUAGCACUAAUGCACCGAAUCCCAUCAGAACUUCGCUGUGAAACGUGCUCGGGCGAGAGCAGGACUAAGAUGGGUGACCUCUUGGGAAGUAAACGUGCUGCACCCCUCAUUUUGUCUUUUCAGCCGGUUAAUCCUCUUUUCGCGGCCGACUCUUUCACUUUUGCGUGCGGUCGCGGGUUUCUAUCGCCGGUGCGAGGUCUCCGUUGCACCUCCGACCCGCCGGGGAGCGUAAAAAGUGCCCCAGAGGGGUGAAUCUUGCGGCAGCCAAGUCGGGGUAGGUGAGGGGGGCACGAGUUAAGUAGAUUUGCCGUGCACAUCCUGAUGGGUGUGACCACUAGCACUAAUGCAAUGAAUCCCAUCAGAACGUCGCUGUCAAGCAUGCUUGUGCGAGAGCAGUACUAAGAUGGGUGACCUCUUGGGAAGUAAACGUGUUGCACCCCUCAUUUUGUAUUUUCGGCCGGUUAAUCCUCUUUCGCGGCCGACUUCUUCAAUUUUGCAUGCAGUCGCGGGUUUCAAUCUUCGGUGCGGGGUCUCCAGAGCACCUCUUAAUGCCGGGGAGCGUAAAAAUCACCUCGGAGGGGUAAAUAGUGCAGCGGCCGAGUCGGGGCAGGCGAGGGGGGCACGGGUUAAGUAGAUAUGCAGUGCACAUGCUGAUGGUUGCUACCACUAGCACUAAUGCACCGAAUCCCAUCAAAACUCCGCAGUCAAGCGUGCUCGGGCGAGCGCAAUACGAACAUGGGUGACCUCUUGGGAUGUCCUCGUGUUGCACCCCUCAUUUUGUCUUUUCGACCCGUUAAUCCUCUUUUUGCGGCCGACUCCUUCACUUUUGCGUGCAAUCGCGGGUUUCUAUCGCCGGUGCGAGAUCUCUGUUGCACCUCCGACCCGCCGGGGAGCGUAAAAAGUGCCCCUGAGGGGUGAAUCGUGCGGCGUCCGAGUGGGGCCAGGCGAGGGGGGCACGGGUUAAGUUAAUUUGUAGUGCACAUGCUGAUGGGUGCAACCACUAGCACUAAUGCACUGAAUCCCAUCAGAACUUCGCUGUCAAGCGUGCUCGGGCGAGAUCAGUACUAAGAUGGGUGACCUCUUGGGAAGUAAACGUGUUGCACCCCUCAUUUUGUCUUUUCAGCCGGUUAAUCCUCUUUUCGCGGCCGACUCCUUCACUUUUGCGUGCGGUCGCGGGUUUCUAUCGCCGGUGCGAGGUCUCUGUUGCACCUCUAACCCGCCGGGGAGCGUAAAAAGUGCCCCGGAGGGGUGAAUCUUGCGGCAGCCAAGUCGGGGUAGGUGAGGGGGGCACGAGUUAAGUAGAUUUACCGUGCACAUUCUGAUGGGUGCGACCACUAGCACUAAUGCAAUGAAUCCCAUCAGAACUUCGCUGUCAAGCGUGCUUGUGCGAGAGCAAUACUAAGAUGGGUGACCUCUUGGGCAGUAAACGUGUUGCACCCCUCAUUUUGUCUUUUCGAUCGGUUAAUCCUCUUUUCGCUGCCGGCUACUUCAAUUUUGCAUGCAGUCGCGGGUUUCGAUCGUCGAUGCGGGGUCUCCAGGGCACCUCUUAAUGCCGGGGAGCGUAAAAAUAGCCCCGGAGGGGUACAUAGUGCAGCGGCCCAGUCGGGGCAGGCGAGGGGGGCACGGGUUAAGCAGAUUUGCAGUGCACAUGCUGAUGGUUGCUACCACUAGCACUAAUGCACCGAAUCCCAUCAAAACUCCGCAGUCAAGCGUGCUCGGGCGAGCGCAAUACGAACAUGGGUGACCUCUUGGGAUGUCCUCGUGUUGCACCCCUCAUUUUGUCUUUUCGACCCGUUAAUCCUCUUUUUGCGGCCGACUCCUUCACUUUUGCGUGCAAUCGCGGGUUUCUAUCGCCGGUGCGAGAUCUCUGUUGCACCUCCGACCCGCCGGGGAGCGUAAAAAGUGCCCCUGAGGGGUGAAUCGUGCGGCGUCCGAGUGGGGCCAGGCGAGGGGGGCACGGGUUAAGUUAAUUUGUAGUGCACAUGCUGAUGGGUGCAACCACUAGCACUAAUGCACUGAAUCCCAUCAGAACUUCGCUGUCAAGCGUGCUCGGGCGAGAGCAGUACUAAGAUGGGUGACCUCUUGGGAGGUAAACGUGUUGCACCCCUCAUUUUGUCUUUUCGGUCGGUUAAUCGUCUUUUCGCAGCCGACUCCUUCACUUUUGCGUGCGGUCGUGGGUUUUCAUUGUUAGCGCGGGGGGCAACUCUGACCCGCCGGGGAGUGAGAAAACCGCCCCGGAGGGAGGAAUCGUGCGGCGGCCGAGUCGGGGGAAACGAGGGGGGCACGGGUUAAGAAGAUUUGCAGUUCACAUGCUGAUGGGUGCGACCAUACCAGCACUAAUGCACCGAAUCCCAUCAGAACUCCGCAGUCAAGCGUGCUCGGGCGAGAGCAGUACUAACAUGGGUGAACUCUUGGGAUGUCCUCGUGUUGCACCCCUUAUUUUGUCUUUUCGGCCAGUUAAUCAUCUUUUCGCGGCCAACUCCUUUAGUUUUGCGUGCAUUCGCGGGUUUCGAUCACCGGCGCGGGGUCUUCGUGGCACCUCUGACUCGCCGGGGAGAGCGAAAAGCGCUCCGGACAGGUGAAUCGUGCGGCAGCCGGGACAGGGCAGGCGACGAGGGCACAUAUUAAGUAGAUUUGUAGUGCACAUGUUGAUGGGUGCGACUAUACCAGCACUAAUGCACCAAAUCCCAUCAGAACUUCACAGUCAGGCGUGCUUAGGCGAGAGCAGUACUAAGAUCGGUGACCUCUUGGGAAGUAAACGUAUUGCACCCCUUAUUUUGUCUUUUCAGCCGGUUAAUCCUCUUUUCACGGCCGACUCCUUCACUUUAGAGUGCGGUCGCGGGUUUCGAUCGCCGGUGCGAGGUCCUUGUUGCACCUCCGACCCGCCGGGGAGCGUAAAAAGUGCCCCGGAGGGGUGAAUCUUGCGGCAGCCAAGUCGGGGUAGGUGAGGGGGGCACGAGUUAAGUAGAUUUGCAGUGCACAUCCUGAUGGGUGCGACCACUAGCACUAAUGCAAUGAAUCCCAUCAGAACUUCGCUGUCAAGCGUGCUUGUGCAAGAGCAGUACUAAGAUGGGUGACCUCUUGGGAAGUAAACGUGUUGCACCCCUCAUUUUGUCUUUUCGGCCGGUUAAUCCUCUUUUCGCGGCCGACUCCUUCACUUUUACGUGCGGUCGCGGGUUUCGAUUGUCGGCGCGGGGGGCACCUCUGACCCGCCGGGGAGUGAGAAAACCGCCCCGGAGGGAUGAAUCGUGCGGCGGCCGAGUCGAGGGAAACGAGGGGGGCACGGGUUAAGAAGAUUUGCAGUUCACAUGCUGAUGGGUGCGACCAUACCAUCACUAAUGCACCGAAUCCCAUCAGAACUCCGCAGUCAAGUGUGCUCGGGCGAGAGCAGUUGUAACACCCCAAAUCUAACACGUGCGGAGCACGUGAAGAAGGAGGUUACUCACAAAUCAUAAUCUUUACUCAUAAGUUUCAAACUGAAAUUCCUCCAAUUCUUAUUCAAAUAAAUCCAUAAAUCCAAACGUCAAAUACUAAAUAAUCUCUCUCGAGGACAUAUAAAAAUAAUAACAAAAGUCUCAAACUCCAAAUUACACGUUCAUAAUAAAAGUAACUAAAUAGAAACACAAGUUUAUUCCUCCUUUUAUUCAAUAGCAAACGGAAACUGGAAAUCACUAACUUCAAAGCUCAGUGCACCUCUCAAAAGAAACUUAAUCUGCAAAAAGUAAUGACGAGGGGUGAGCCGUCAACUCGGUAAGUAAAACCAUUCAUAACACACUAGGCCUAUCGAUACCAUAAAUAUUGCAAGCCUUCUUUUGUUUAAAGCAUAUAUCAUAAUCCAUAAUUUUCAUAAAACGAUAUAUCACAAUAACAUAAGAUAAUUUCUUAAUAAUUCAGAAUAUUCAAAAGCAUAUUUACUUACGAAUCAAAUCAUGUAAUACGUAUACAGAAAACAAACAGGUUAGCUCAUGUCACAUAGUGUCACCUAUAGUCCCGGUGACCCGGCCAGAAACAUAAUCAGAAUAUCGUGUGCACACUCAGAACAGAAACCCAGUACUGGUCCAGACGGAUAUAUCGUAUAUUACGAUCAGAAUCAGAAUCAGACUAACUAUGGACAAUGAGCCAAAGCAAUAAGAAUCUCAUACAAUCAUCAAUAAUUGAAAUCAAACAUAGGUACAAAACAUUCGUAUCAGUUUCAUAAAAGUUCAUAUCAAUAAUAUAGGCUUGCAUAACAUUUUAAAGAUAACAUCCUAAAAGGUUGUCAUGUCAUAAAAAUAACUUACAUAUUCAAAAGCAUUUAUAAAAUACUUUGUUAAAAAGAAUGGUUUGAAAACAUUUACAUAAAGCUAAUUUUGUUAUCAAAAUUAGUAAUCCUUUAAGUAGUAUCAAAACAUUUAUACUUAUAAUAAUAAUAUCAAAAUACUUAUACAUAUCUAGUACAUUAGGAAUGAAGUUACUUACCUCGACAAAUGAACUUGGAUUAACACAGCUCUAAGCUUAGGCCACCCAUAAUUCUCAAUGAAAGCCCAAUUUCCAUAAUUUAAUAUGUAUGGGAAUUUGUGGCGUUACAAUUUCUCCCCUCCUAACAAAAAUUUCGUCCUCGAAAUUAAAAGGUUACCUUAUGCAUGGAAGAGUUGAGGAUACUUCUCCAACAUUUCUGCUUCUCUCUCCCAAGUGGCUUCCUCAAUAGAAUGAUUCAUCCAUCGUACCUUCACUAGGGGAAUAACUCUAUUCCUUAAUACUUGUUCGUCUCGAUCGACAAUCUCAAUAGGCUGUUCCUCAUACGACAUGUCUUCAUUUAUCUGAAUCGGUUGAUAGUCUAGCACAUGUAAAGGGUCUGCAAUGUACUUUCUUAACACAGACACAUGAAAUACAUUGUGAAGCCUAGACAGACUUGGUGGUAAAGCUAUGCGAUAGGCCACCGGACCAAUUCUCUCUAAAAUCUCAAAUGGUCCAAUAAAUCUAGGGCUAAGCUUUCCUGUCUUCCCGAACCGAAACACCCCUUUCCAUGGCGAUACUUUCAAGAAAACAAAAUCUCCUUUUUCGAAUUCCAACUCAUGUCUACGACGAACUGCAUAACUCUUCUGUCUGCUCUGAGCUGUUUGAAGACGUCCUCUAAUCAACUUGAUUUUAUCAACAGUAAUCUGUAUUAAUUCUGGACCCAAAAGUUUUCUUUCACCAACUUCAUCCCAGCAGAUUGGGGACCUACACUUUCUUCCAUAUAAUGCCUCAAAUGGUGCCAUGCCAAUACUCGAAUGGAAGCUAUUGUUAUAAGCAAAUUCGAUCAACAUUAGGUGCUCUUCCCAACCACCACUCAAGUCUAGGACGCAAGCUCGAAGCAUAUCCUCAAGGGUUUGAAUAGUCCUUUCGGAUUGCCCAUCUGUCUGUGGAUGAAAAGCAGUGCUAAAUCUCAAUUUCGUCCCCAACUCUUUAUGUAAGCUAGCCCAAAAUCUUGCAGUGAACAGUGGAUCUCUAUCAGACACUAUUGACACUGGAACCCCAUGAAGCCUCACUAUCUCCUUAAUGAACAACUUAGCUAGUUGCCCUACAUUGUCUGUACUCUUCCUUGCCAAGAAAUGAGCUGAUUUCGUCAAUCGAUCAACAAUUACCCAAAUGCAAUCACAUCCCCUCCUAGAACGAGGUAAUCCAGAAACGAAAUCCAUUGUUAUGUGUUCCCAUUUCCACUGAGGAGUAGGAAGCGUUUGUAAAGUUCCUGCUGGUCUUUGAUGCUCAAUCUUUACUUGUUGGCAGACUAAACACCGAGACACAAAAGCAGCAAUAUCUCUCUUCAUAUUCCUCCACCAAAAACUUUGCUUUAGAUCACGAUACAUCUUAGUACUACCAGGAUGCAUACUGUAAGAUGAUUCAUGAGCUUCUCUUAAGAUCUCUGCCUUCAACUCUUCGUCUGCUGGCACGCAUAACCUUUGUCCCAACCAUAAUCCAUCCCCAUUAUCAAGUCUAAAUCCGGGCUUAUGUCCUUUGCUCACAUCUUCACGGAUUUUAUUGAGUUCUAUGUCGUUCUUCUGAGCUACCUUAACUCUAUCAAUUAGAGUGGGUUGGACUGUCAAAUGUGCUAACACGUCUGCUUGCCCAUGAGUAACUACCUCAAUCCCACAUCUCCUCAAGUCUUUUACCACAUGAGAUUGCAUGGUGAUAAGAUGAGCCAUGCACCCAGAUGAUUUCCUACUCAAGGCAUCUGCUACCACGUUUGCCUUACCUGGAUGGUAAUUAAUAGAACAAUCAAAAUCCUUUACCAACUCCAACCAUCUUCUUUGCCUCAAAUUCAAUUCCUUUUGAGUAAACAAGUACUUCAAACUCUUAUGAUCGGUGAAGAUCUCACAAGUCUCCCCAUACAAAUAGUGUCUCCAGAUUUUUAGAGCAAACACUAUAGCAGCCAAUUCCAAAUCGUGUGUUGGGUAGUUUUGUUCAUGAUUCUUUAGCUGCCUAGAAGCAUAUGCUAUAACCUUACCAUGUUGCAUUAAAACGCAACCCAAACCUUUUCUGGAAGCAUCACUGUAAAUCACAAAACCUCCACCUUCAGAAGGGAGAGUUAAAACAGGGGCAGUCACCAAAUAACUCUUGAGCUCUUGAAAGCUCUUUUCACAUGCCUCAUCCCAAUUGAACUUCACAUUCUUCUUAGUCAAAUUAGUCAAUGGUGCUGCUAUGCUAGAAAAUCCUUUGACAAAGCGCCUAUAAUAACCUGCCAAUCCUAAGAAACUCCUUACUUCAGUCACACUAGCAGGCCUUUCCCAAUUCACAAUUACCUCCACUUUGGCUGGAUCUGCUGAAAUACCAUCCUUCGUCACUAUAUGUCCCAAAAACAUCACACGAUCAAGCCAAAACUCACAUUUCUUAAAUUUUCCAUACAACUUCUUCUCCCGCAAUGUUUCUAAUACAAUCCUCAGGUGCGUCUCAUGCUCCUUCUUACUCUUAGAGUAAAUUAAUACGUCAUCAAUAAAGACGAUGACAAACUGGUCAAGAUAAGGUUGGAAGAUCCUAUUCAUCAAAUCCAUGAACGCUGCAGGAGCAUUAGUUAAUCCAAAAGGCAUAACUAAGAACUCAUAGUGUCCAUAACGAGUUCGAAAAGCUGUCUUCGAUACAUCCUCACUUCUUAUUUUCAAUUGAUGGUAGCCAGAUCGUAAAUCAAUUUUAGAGAAUACCGCUGCACCUCGUAAUUGAUCAAAGAGGUCAUCAAUUCGGGGAAGAGGGUAUUUAUUCUUGACGGUAACCACAUUCAACUGCCGGUAGUCUAUACACAACCUCAUUGAACCAUCUUUCUUCUUUACGAACAAAACGGGAGCACCCCAAGGUGACACACUAGGACGAAUGAAACCCUUAUCUAGUAAUUCUUGUAGCUGGAUCUUUAGUUCUUUUAAUUCAAUGGGUGCCAUCCGAUAUGGUGCCUUGGAUAUAGGUGUAGUACCAGGAACUAAUUCUAUAGUAAACUCAACCUCUCGAUCUGGGGGUAGUCCCGGAAGAUCUUCAGGAAAUACAUCAAUAAACUCCCUUACAAUAGGUAUGUCUUCAAGGCACGCCCCAUCGGGAUGGUCAGCAACUAUAUACGCUAAAAAUCCUUCACACCCAUUCUUUAGCAUUUUCAUUGCCUUAACCAUAGAAAUCAAAGCUUUAUGACUCUUAUGAUUCCCUUGAAAAUGAAAUUCUUCCUCGCCAGGUAGGCGAAAAAUAAUUUCCUUAGCAAAACAAUCUAUUGAAACAUGGUAAGGUCCUAACCAAUCCAUCCCCAAAAUAAAAUCAAAAUCGUGCAUCUAUAAAGGUAGGAGAUCCACAAGGAAUUCUCUAUCACACAAUCUGAUCACACAUGACUUAUAGACAUGAUCUAUAAACUGGCAAUCCCCCACAGGGGUACUAAUUGUCACGUGAACAUCCAGUGGUGUGAUAGGCACAUUAGCAUAACGGGCAAACACACAAGAUACAAAUGAAUGUGUAGCACCAGGAUCAAAAAGAACUUUGGCUUAUCUAGAGAAUAAGGACAAUGUACCUGAUACUACAUCAUUGGACACCUCAGCAUCUUUUUCUGUUAGUGCAAAAACACGCCCUUGCACCCUCGGUUUCUUCCUCUGCCCUUCGUUAGUCGGAGUAUUUGUAGUCUCGCUACGUCUCUUUGGGCAAUCCAUAAUCCUAUGCCCAGAUUCUCCACAAGCAAAACAAGCUCCAGUUUUCCAAUGGCAUUCACCAGGGUGCCUCCUUUCACAAUGUCGACAAAUGGGGUAGUUCCUCCGAGUGGUGUCACCAGUAACACCCUUGUUAUCCCAUUUGUUACCUCCACCAUUAUACUUCUGGGAGUGAGUGCCCUGCCUAAAGGAACUUCCAUUUCGCGGUCCACCUUAUUGAUUCUUCUUAUUUCUCUGAUCCCUUGUAACUUGGGCUUCAAGAAUAUCCUUCUCCGCAAGAAUUGCUCGGUCCACCAAAUCGGCAUAAUUGUUAAUCUUAAGGAUGGUCAAUCGCCCUUUAAUGUUAGGACGUAACCCUUCCAGAAACUUCCUACACUUACUACCUUCAUUAGCAACCAAGGUAUGAGCAAAACGAGAGAGGGCAGUAAAUUGUUCCUCAUACUCCGCAACAGACUUUGUUCCUUGAGUCAACCUCAAGAAAUCAGCCUCCAUCUGAUGUCGAGCUCGUUCAGGAAAAUACUUUUCAUGAAAAGCCUCCAAAAAUAACUCCCAAGUAAUGGGUGCAUCUUGCAAGCCAGCCCUUAUGAGACGAGAUUUGGCAUCCCACCAGUGGUCUGCCUCACCCUGAAGGACAAAUGAGGCUAAUAUUACCCUUUGAUCAUCAUUACAACCCAUAGCCACAAAUAUCUUCUCCAUCUGUUUUAGCCAUGCCUCUGCAACCAUGGGAUCGGCAGUCCCCUGAAAGGUAGGUGGUCCCAAUUUCUUAAAUCGUUCUAAGUUCACCAUAGCCCUAUGAUCUCUUGCGCCACCUUGCCUUUCAACUGGCACAUUCUCUUGUGCCCCAACUCUGCCUCUAGCCAUAUCUUGAAUUAACUUACUUUGUUGUUCCAUCAAUCUAAACAUUGCGCGCAUCAUAGGAUUUCCUUCGUUAGCCAUCUCGUGCAAGGUUGGGUCAGCAUCGUCAGCGAUACCUAAAACAUCUCUCGAGCUAGAGGCAUGCCUAGCACCUCCCCUACGUGACAUCUCUUGACUAUAACACGGAGAAUAAAUAAAUAAUUAAAAAGGGUAAAUAAUUCAUAGCUAAAGGUCGUGCAAGCGCGCAGAGUACUGAAUAAGUAGUGUAACUAAGAAAAUUUGAUAUUGUAAACAAGAGCAAUAAAUAUUUCAUUCUACGUUAAUACCAAAGAUCAUAUAACAAGAGUUAUUACAAAGUCGCAAGCAACAUAGAAAGCCAAAAAGACCAAAAUAGAAUUACUAGUCAUAAAUGAUUACUCCUUGCCUUAAAAUAUUUAAUCACUCUAUUAACCUCAAUAAAGUCUACAGAGUUUCAUGUCCUACAGCCACAAAGUUCAUAGGUGUACUCAACCGGAUAGGAAAAGGAUCUAUUUUUACUUUCCUUUCCUUAGUCGUGACUCCAUCUGUCUCGAUUUCCUUAGGAAUUCUAUAAGGUAGUUUAUUUAGACCUGGAGAUACCCAUCCUUUGCUAUAGUAAGGCUUAAAUCGAGGUCCUGUCCAAAAUAGGCGACGUAUUACAAGCUUAUUCUUGUUAGCUCCCUUGCCAUAAACACGUAGUCCACGUAUAGCCUCAUUGAGCUUCUUUCUUGAAGCUCCAGGUCCUGGAGGAGUAUCGAUGUAGACCUCUAUAGUCCGUCUUAGUCUAUCAUCCAUUCGCUGCUUAUGAAGUCUCCUAAGAUCUUUGACAAGAACUCCUCCUAAGAUAAAUUGUUCGGUCCUAUCAAUUUCUGUCCAUCCCUUAUUCUUGACACUUUUCAUACCCAUAUUGUCCUUCUUCAUGUCUACAAAACAAAUGUAAUCGAUUUAAUUAGACAAUCUAAUUAAACCGUAAAAGAAAGUCUACAGAAUCCUAACCUAGUUGCUCUGAUACCACAAUUGUAACACCCUAAAUUUAACACGUGCGGAGCACGUGAAGAAGGAGGUUACUCACAAAUCAUAAUCUUUACUCAUAAGUUUCAAACUGAAAUUCCUCCAAUUCUUAUUCAAAUAAAUCCAUAAAUCCAAACGUCAAAUACUAAAUAAUCUCUCUCGAGGACAUAUAAAAAUAAUAACAAAAGUCUCAAACUCCAAAUUACACGUUCAUAAUAAAAGUAACUAAAUAGAAACACAAGUUUAUUCCUCCUCUUAUUCAAUAGCAAACGGAAACUGGAAAUCACUAACUCCAAAGCUCAGUGCACCUCUCAAAAGAAACUUAAUCUGCAAAAAGUAAUGACGAGGGGUGAGCCGUCAACUCGGUAAGUAAAACCAUUCCUAACACACUAGGCCUAUCGAUACCAUAAAUAUUGUAAGCCUUCUUUUGUUUAAAGCAUAUAUCAUAAUCCAUAAUUUUCAUAAAACGAUAUAUCACAAUAACAUAAGAUAAUUUCUUAAUAAUUCAGAAUAUUCAAAAGCAUAUUUACUUACGAAUCAAAUCAUGUAAUACGUAUACAGAAAACAAACAGGUUAGCUCAUGUCACAUAGUGUCACCUAUAGUCCCGGUGACCCGGCCAGAAACAUAAUCAGAAUAUCGUGUGCACACUCAGAACAGAAACCCAGUACUGGUCCAAACGGAUAUAUCGUAUAUUACGAUCAGAAUCAGAAUCAGACUAACUAUGGACAAUGAGCCAAAGCAUUAAGAAUCUCAUACAAUCAUCAAUAAUUGAAAUCAAACAUAGGUACAAAACAUUCGUAUCAGUUUCAUAAAAGUUCAUAUCAAUAAUAUAGGCUUGCAUAACAUUUUAAAGAUAACAUCCUAAAAGGUUGUCAUGUCAUAAAAAUAACUUACAUAUUCAAAAGCAUUUAUAAAAUACUUUGUUAAAAAGAAUGGUUUGAAAACAUUUACAUAAAGCUAAUUUUGUUAUCAAAAUUAGUAAUCCUUUAAGUAGUAUCAAAACAUUUAUACUUAUAAUAAUAAUAUCAAAAUACUUAUACAUAUCUAGUACAUUAGGAAUGAAGUUACUUACCUCGACAAAUGAACUUGGAUUAACACAGCUCUAAGCUUAGGCCACCCAUAAUUCUCAAUGAAAGCCCAAUUUCCAUAAUUUAAUAUGUAUGGGAAUUUGUGGCGUUACAGCAGUACUAACAUGGGUGAACUCUUGGGAUGUCCUCGUGUUGCACCCCUCAUUUUGUCUUUUCGGCCGGUUAAUCCUCUUUUCGCGGCCGACUCCUUUGCUUUCGCGGGUUUCGAUCGCCGACGCGGGGUCUCCGGGGCACCUCCGACUCGCCAGGGAGAGCGAAAAGCGCUUCAGAGGGGUGAAUCAUGCGGCGGCCAAGUCGGGGCAGGCGACGGGGGCACAGAUUACGUAGAUUUGUAGUGCACAUGCUGAUGGCUGCGACGAUACCAGCACUGAUGCACCGAAUCCCAUCUGAACUCCGCAGUCAAGUGUGCUCGGGCGGGAGUAGUACUAACAUGGGUGACCUCGUGGGAUGUCCUCGUGUUGCACCCCUUAUUUUGUCUUUCGGCCAGUUAAUCCUCUUUUCGCGGCUGAAUCCUUCACUUUGCUAGCGUUCGCGGGUUUCGAUCGCCGGCGAGGGGUCUCCGGGGCACCUCCGACUCGCCGGGGAGAGUGAAAAGCGCUCCGGAGGGGUGAAUCGUGCGGGGGCCGAGUCGGGGCAGGCGAGGGGGCACAGAUUAAGUAGAUUUGUAGUGCACAUGCUGAUGGGUGCGACCAUACCGGCACUAAGGCACCGAAUCCCAUCAGAACUCCGCAGUCAAGCGUGCUCGGGCGGGAGUAGUACUAAUAUGGGUGACCUCGUGGGAUGUCCUCGUGUUGCACCCCUCAUUUUGUCUUUUUGGCCGGGUAAUCCUCUUUUCGCGGCCGACUCCUUCACUUUUACGUGCGUUCGCGGGGUUCGAUUGUCGGCGCGGGGCCUCCGGGGCACCUCCGACCCGCCGGGGAGCGUGAAAAGCGCUCCGGAGGGGUGAAUCGUGCAGGGGCCGAGUCGGGGAAGGCGAGGGAGGCACGGAUUAAGUAGAUUUGUAGUGCACAUGUUGAUGGGUGCGACUAUACCAGCACUAUUGCACUGAAUCCCAUCAGAACUCCGCAGUGAAACGUGCUCGGGCGGGAGCAAUACUAACAUGGGUGACCUCUUGGGAAGUCCUCGUGUUGUACCCUUCAUUUUGUCUUUUCGGCCGGUUAAUACUAUUUUAGCGGCCGACUCCUUCACUUUUGCGUGCAUUCGCAGGUUUUGAUCGCCGGCGCGGUCUUUGGGGCACGGGUUAAGUAGAUUUGCAGUGCACAUGCUAAAAGGUGCGACCAUACCAGUAGUAAUGCAUCGGAUUCUAUCAGAACUCUGCAGUUAAGCGUGCUUGGGCGAGAGCAGUAAUAAGAUGGGUGACCUCUUGGGACGUCCUCGUGAUGCAACCCUCCUUUUGUCUUUUCGGCCGGUUAAUCCUCUUUUCGCGCCCGACUCCUUCACUGUUACGUUUGUUCGAGGGUUUCGAUCGCCGGCGCGGGGUCUUUGGGGCACCUCCGAUCCGCCGGGGAGCGUGAAAAGCGCCCCGGAGGGGUGAAUCGUGCGGUUCCCGAGUCGGUGCAGGCGAGGGGGGCACGAGUUAAGUAGAUUUAUAGUGCACAUGUUGGUGGAUGCGACCAUACCAGAACUAAUGCACCGGAUCCCAUCAGAACUCUGCAGUCAAGCGUGCUUGGGCAAGAGCAGUACUAAGAUGGGUGACCUCCUGGGAGGUCCUCGUGUUGCACCCCUCCUUUUGUCUUUUGGGCCGGUUAAUCCUAUUUUCGCGGCCAACUCCUUCACUUUUGCAUGCGUUCGCGGGUUCGAUCGCCGGCGCGGGGUCUCUGGUGCACCUCCGACCUACCGGGGAGCGUGAAAAGCCCCCCGGAGGGGUGAAUCGUGCGGCGGCCGAGUCGAGGCCGGUGAGGGGGGCACGAGUUAAGUAAAUUUGCAGUGCACAUGCUGAUGGGUACGACCAUACUAGCACUAAUGCACCGGAUCCCAUCAGAACUCCGCAGUUAAGCGUACUUGGGCGAGAGCAAUACUAAGAUAGGUGAUCUCUUGGAAAGUGCUCGUGUUGCUAUUAAUUUCUUAUCUUUUCUUAUCUUUUUGAAGUUGUGAAAAGAUAAACUAUAGUUUGCAAUAAGAACAGUGUUGGCUAAGUGUUGACGGUAGAAAGAAUUUAGAGAUAAUUUUUAAUAAAGAUGGUUAAUUUGGAAAUUUUAUAUGCGUUUAGUGAAUGAAUAGUGUUGCAUGUAUUUAAAAUAGCACAAAAUUUAAUACAAAAGUAUAAAAAAUUCAAAAAAAAUCUUGUGCUGUGGUGGAUUCUUUUCUUGUAAUGAAACGUUUUAUUUAUUUUUAGUGAUGGCAUACUAUUUUUUAUAUUAUUUUUUUUUCUUAUAUAUUGGUAUUGUCAGCCAACAGAUGAAUAAAUGGUAAACUAUUGAUGUGAAAAAUCUCUGCCACCUUUUCGAUUUUUUUUUUAAAAGAUAGAGAGAUAAAUGAUUUCAAAUUAAUCUUUUAACUCUCUUAACUUUUGUCAAAUUUAAAUUUGAAUAGCCAACAAAAUAAAAUUAAUUGAAAACUCUACCUCCGUACUCCGAGUGCAAUUAUUUUGACUCAAAUGAAUGUCUUAAAAAUUUGAAAAAACAGACCAGCACAUUGAAUAUAUAAAAUGUGCCUGUAUAUAUAUCACACCCUGCCAAUCACGGUGUUAUAAUAAUGGAAUCAUUGAUCAGUAAAUAUAUCUUACUGUCCUUUUCUCAUGCGCAUGCGUCAUUACGAAAUCAAAGUUAACAGUGUUAUAACUAAUCACAUUUGAAAAUAUUCAUAUGAGGAGUCAAAGAUGCUUGCAAACAGUUAGUCCACAUUUGCGAGCAAGCGUGAUUAUAUAUAAUGUGCUUCUCUAUUAUAGUGUGUGAUCAAUCAGGCAAGCUUAAUUUAGCUGAUCAUCAGUAUCUAUGGAUGCGAAUCAAGAUCAAGGAGCAAAAGAGUUGUUCCAAGGCCAAGCUCAACUGUAUAAGCUCAUGUUUAGUCAUUUAAGCUCGAUGUCACUCAAGUGCGCGAUUGAGCUAGCUAGGCAUAGCGGAUAUAAUUCACAGCCACGGACGGGCCAUCACUCUUUCUGUGUUGGUCUCGGCACUUGAUAUUCAGCCUACAAAAACGACUGGCCUAUUCAGGCCAUGCGCUUGUUAGUUCACUCGGGCUGCUUUAAAAAAACCAAAGUCAAUGGGCAAGAAGAAGCAUACGGGCUCACAGCUGCUUCUACUCUGCUCAUAAAAGAUAAGCCCUACUGUUUGUCACCAACUGUUUCAGUAUUUGUUGACCCAUUUUUUGUCGCUCCAUAUCAGUCUUUAAGUAGUUGGUUCAAAGGGGCUGAGCUCACGUUGUGGGAAACUGUUCAUGGAAUCAAGUUCUGGGAAUUUAUGAAUCAAAACCCUGGAAUAAACCAGCGGUUCAAUGAAGCAAUGGCCAGUGACACUGAAAUAAUGACAAGCUUUGUUGUCAAAGCCGAGUGCAAGCAAAUCUUUGAAGGGUUGGGCACAUUGGUUGACGUAGGAGGUGGCAACGGAUCGUUUUCCAGAAUCAUCUCUGAAGCAUUCCCUGGAAUCAAAUGCACUGUACUCGACCUUCCGCAUGUUGUUGCUAACCUGCCUGAGGCCGACAACUUGAAAUACAUAGCAGGUGACAUGUUUCAGUUUAUCCCUCCGGCAGAUGCCUUUCUCUUCAAGGUAACAUCCAAUUUUAAAAAUUUAAAACGACUUCUUAACCGUUUUCGUGAAUACCAGAUGAUUUAUUUCAAUUGUUCUGUGCGCAGCACAUAUAUCCGGACGUUUGAAUCUUACAAAAUCAGGAUUUGAAUGAUUCAAAUCAGAUUUAAAGCAACUGCAAAAUGCUAUACAACUCUAAAUUUAAUUAACAUUUGGAUUUUACAGAAUCUAGAAGUUUAGGCUUGAGCAUGACCAUUUACGUAGUCAUUCUCUAGUGCGCUUACCCGCAUUUUUUCAAGUGUAUAUAACUAUUCAUUUCACAUAUGACAAUUCAUGAUAAUUUGUAUUCUGAAAGAGUGUAUAUAAUAUAAUAUAUUUUUGUAAACGAAGGAAACAGCAGCUUUGUGGCAUUGGAUUUAUACGGUCCCCCGGUAAUUAAACAAAAACAAUUAACUUUUUAUGCAAUUAUUGUUACCGAACACAUUUUUAAAUAAUAUAUCCAACAGUGCAUAGCAGUAGGUCUUUCGAAAACUCACUAAAUUUAACAUUAAAAUAUCAAUAUAUUAAUAAAAAAAGUUUAUUCUUUUAUCACAUACUGAGUUGGUGGAAUAAUCCCAAGCAAUUUUUUUCGGCCUGUACGUCAGUUUAGUUGCAAACAAAUUUUAAAAUUACAAUAAAAUAAAGAAAUUGUGAGAAUGGAACAGCUCCCCCUGAAGCUUACAUUUAAUUUAAUUACAAAGCCCCACGAGCAGGCAGAUGUUUAUUUCAAAACCAAAAAUGGACGAGGAAAAGGUUACCCAAUUGAGAAUCAGAGCAUGCAUCAGACGAGCUCAAUAUCAUCAGACAAUUUUUUUUUCUUUUUCUGCAUAUAAAUUAAUUAUGUAUAACAUUGAAACUUAUUUUUCCAUAACUUAUAUGUAUAUGUACAAAUGUGUGUGUUUAUAGGCAGAGUAAUAAAACGCUUUAUCUACAACACUAUAAAAUUAUUUUACAAUAUUUAAAACAACGAAUCUGCAUUCUAAAAAGUGUGAUUUCUGUAUGCAUAUAGAUAGAUCAAGGGGUGGGCAAAAUCGGGUUCGGAUCAACCCAAUCGGAUUUCGGAUUGAUCGGGUUGGAGAGAAAUUCAUCCGAACUCAACCCGAAUUUCAGAUCGGAUCGGAUCGGAUCGGGUUGUAUUCGGUUCGGGUCGGAUCAAAUCUAAAAUUCGGAUCAAUUUCCGGUCAAUUCGGGUUAAGGACAAAAAAGAGUUAUUUUGUUAAUUUUGGGGUUGUUUAAUAAUUAUUUAAUAAUUACAAUAUCACUUUUAUACAAUUAGUUCAUUUUAGUCCAUUUCCACUUUCGACUUUCCAAUGAUUGUCAUAAAAAAAAUAUAUAAACUAAAAUAGAAAUGAAAAAGUUGUGAGCUUGAGGACUUGGUGCCGUGAAUCUCGGUCUCGGUCUCGGUCUCGUUGGAAGAACAACCAUGGAUCACUUCGCGCGGGUCAAGCAGCAGCCGAUGGAUCAAGCGGUAAUGGGUUUCAUCGAUGGCUCAUGGCUUCACGGGUUUCGUCGGUGGCUACCGGAAAAGCAAAUCCGAUUGAAGUGAAGUGAAGCAACCGUCGAUGCAGCAGCAAGCAGAUCCUGUCGUCAAUGCAGCAGAUCUGGUCAAGUGGUGUGCUGCCUCUAGCCUGCUGCUGUGCUAACCGUUUGUGGUUAUGUUGUUGCUUGUAGUUGUUUGAGUGAGUUGUGAGGAAAAAGAGGAAGAAGAUAAAGAAGAUAAAGAAGAGAUUGAAGAGAAAGAACAUGGAGAGUGUUGGUGUGAGGCUGUGAGGCUGUGAGCCAUGGUGUUCGUAUCUGCUGUGUAGCCAUUUAGAUUUUGUUGGUUUUUUUUUUUGUUUAAGCAACCCGAUCGGGUUUUCGGAUCGGAUCGGGUCAAAGAUACAACUCGAUCGGGUUUCAAAGAUUUAAUCCGAUCGGGUUUUAUUCACGACCCGAUCCGAUCCGAACCUAAAAAUUUUCGGAUCAGAUCGGGUCGGAUCGGGUAUUUUGCCCACCCCGACGCACAAACUGUUGGGAUUUUAUUAAAAAGAAAAAGUAUUCUAUAUUUUAACUAAAAUGUUAGAUCAAACAACUGAACUGCACUAUAAGUAGUGGAUAGUAAUUAAAUGAGUGAUUGGCAUGGUUGCAGUUGGUUUUUCAUGGAUUAGGUGAUGAGGAUGGGUUGAAGAUACUGAAGAAACGCAGAGCAGCAAUUGCAAGCAAUGGUGAGAGAGGAAAGGUAAUAAUAAUAGAUAUUGUUAUCAAUGCAGAGGAAGAGGAACACGAAUUAACCGAAACAAAGUUCUUGUUUGACAUUGUGAUGAGCGUUAACGCCACUGGAAAAGAGAGAACUGAAAGUGAAUGGGCAAAGCUAUUCUUCGAUGCUUGUUUCAGUCACUACAAAAUAACACCUAUAUUUGGCAUGAGGUUCCUCAUUGAAAUCUAUCCAUAAAGAAUUGAGCAACCGUAUUCCCGCAAGUCUCAUGUACAGCUUGAUGGAAUAGCAAAAUAUCGUUCAAGAUUUAAGUGUACGUGGUAGUUGAAAUGUCUCGAAAUGACUAGAAAAUGAGGUGACACGCGGGUUUAAAUAGAGGAUGAGUCACUCAAAACAAGUAACUGCAAAAUAAUUUAUAUUGGUACUUUGGAUAUUUACAAUUAGGUUGUACAUUAAUGACAAAUGAUUCAAAAUUUAUCUUUGCAAUGUCAGUAAAAAAAAUAAUUAGUAAAAAAUUAAAAAAGUAAAAAUAACCUAUUCAUAUUAAUGAGUAAUAUUACUAUUAAAAAUUAAUAUUUCAAAAGUAUAACAUCCCCACGAUUCUUCUAAGCCAAUCAGAAACAUCAUCAGCUAAGAUUGUUUGAUGUAAGACAAAAUUGAAGUUUACUUAUUUUAUUUAGUAUUUUAAUUUUUUCAAGCUGAAUUUAUAAUUGGACUUAUAUUUGGGGGUGCAUGGAUUCUCUUUUCCGGUUUACUAUUAGAAAGAUUAUGUCACGGGUUUAAUAAUUUUUUAUCAUUAAAAUCCUUAUUUUAUGCGAGGGUUUAAUCUAUCUUGAUCACAUUUCCACUGUGUUAUUAAGAAAAUCUUCAAUUAACAUGCAGUAUAAUAUCCAAGUCAACUCAAUCAAGAGGCUAAUUAAAACUGAGGAUCAAAAAGCACAAUCAACCUUACAUAACAAGCAAGAAUAAUGAAAGCCUUGAAUUAAUCACUAGCCGUUAGUCCUCUAUCCGUUUCUUUUAAUUUAACUAGGUGGAAGCCAAGAAUCUUGAGCAAAACGCUAUGCCCCAUAUUGUAUAUGUAUCCAACAAUUCGUCAAUGAAACUUUUUUUUAUGGUAUCACAGCCAAUCUUGAGAAUCACAGACAUGCAUGGUUAUUAUGUUUCAAUGAAAAAAAGUUUGCCACUAGUGAACCUCUUAAGAAAGUUGGCUUGCUUGAUUGUAGAUCAGUAUACAAAAGAAAUUCAAAUCUAUUUGUGAUUAUUUGGCUGCCAUCAAGAAACCAGUGGAAGAUGUUGAUAAACAGUGGCAAUUGGCACGUGGACUUGGACCAGACCUGAGACCUCUCAAGGUAGCGAUGCUGGGAAAUCCUCCAUACCGUCAAUUUGGUCCUUUUAUAUUACAAGGUUCAAAAAGUUGAAUUAAUUUUCUAUUAAUGCAAGCUAGUAUCCAAGGUGGUCAAUGGAUCUAGAGAUGGGGGAAAGAAAAAAAACACUUAAAGAAAGAUGUAAUUGAUUGAUUAUGUUAAAUGCUAGCUCAUUUGUAAAUUUGAAGGAUAACAAAGACUUUAUUAAAAGUGCAGUGUGAUUAUACAAAGAGUAGUGUUAGGCAUCUUGAGAUUUUAUCUCAAAUGAUACGAUAUACAUUAAGUGAAUGAUGGCAUAGUUUAAUUAACUCACGUAAUAUUUAUGAAAAAUUGUGAAUCACUUCAUGAAAAACAUGUUACAUACCAUGCAUAUCACAUAAUAUUUUAGUGUGUAUUAUCUUUUCUUUAAUGAUAAAUUGUAUUGUGGGCAUUUAAAUAUAUAAUAUUGUAAAAUUUAACUAAAGAGUUGGUGUAACAAAAUAUUUUGAUAAGGAUAUCUGAUGAAAUUUCAAAUAAAUUUCAUUUUCACCUUAAAUUUCAAGCGACCUGAAUAUAUGCACUAUGAUUUAUUCAGAGCAAUCCGAAACCGAAAUAAUAUGAGCUUUCAGAUUGAUUAAAUGUUUUUCCCAAUACAUUCAGAUUUCAGAAAGUUUCAAAAGAAAGCUGAAAAAAUAUAUCAAUAAUUAAAAUGAAAAAAGUUGGAAGGAGGUAUCUAAAAGUCAAUUUCAACGCCAAUGAUGUGUAAUUCCACAUGAGCAAACUAGUUGAUUGCCAUGAGAAAACGAAAAGAAAAGAGAGGUGCAUAAAAUUUAAUUUGACAAUAACAGCCACGUUCUCCCCCCCCCCCCCCCCCCAAAAAAAAGCAAAAAAAAGCAUAAAUUUCAUUUGACAAUGAUAUCCUGAUAUCCAUGAACUCAACUUGGGAAAGGAAAAACAAAAAAAAAAACCUCCAUCAUAUAGAAAUUUCAUUUGACAUAUUAUCAUUUAUCUUGCUUCGCUUCGUAUCAUUUGUGUAUUUUAUUGUCUUUGAAGCAUAUGAUUUUUUUUGUUUGGUACUAUGUUGGUGUUGUUUUAAUUUUCUAUAUAAGAAACGUGAUUGUUAUAUGGAAGACAUAUUUUGCAGAAAUAAUGGGAUUCAUUCUAAACUUAGACAUUGACAAGCUAGCCGAACACUACAAGAAAAUGGAACAUUUCUAAGGGCAACUACCCUUGGAAAUAGACGAAGACUCUCAGAAAAACUCAUUUUCAAGUAAGACAUGCCGUCGAUCGUCGUCGUAUUAAGUCUUAUCGGAAAUGUAAAAUUUCUGAUGAGUCGUUGGAGAAAAAAAAAAUUUCCGAGGAUGUUGCCGUCGGAUAUGGAAUUAAAUGCCCUCCGAAAUAAGAUAAGAUAAACCUAGUUAUUUCAGCUGCAACAUGCCCUCAAAAAUAAAAGAUACACUGUCGGAAAUAGACUUAUUUCAUUAAUUUUUUAUUGUUGAAAUAUCCAUAUUAGGGAAGUAAUGUAACAAACAUAAUAAUAAUAUACGAAAUAUACUAAAUGUAACUUCAUUAAUUUCAAAAAUUCAUAAAAUCACAUUCAUCAUGCAAAAAUGCAACAAAAAUAUCAAUUUUAUACUAUCUUUUACAGAAAAAAAAAUAUACCCAAGUAUAGACAAAAUGAUAUCACCAUAUCUUAAAUAUGUUCAAUCAUCCUCUAAAACAACUUCAGUUUCUGAAUCAUUUACCUCAACUUCAUCAUCCUCAUACCCAUCAUCAUCUUCUCCCGUCAAAACAAUGUCCUAGGUGAAAGAAGGAAUUUUAAUCAUUAGUAUUACCAAAACAAGAACUUGUAUGAAAUAUAAUCAAGAAACUGAGACUAAUGAGAAAAAUAUUGUAAUAAAAACAACUUUAUAUCGAUGCAUAGUCUCCAUUUCAAAAAAUCUAAUAAUUAUUCCAUCAUUCACCUAUAUUAGAAGCUUGUCCAUAAUUACUUAAGUUCAUCAACUAAUAGAGCAAUGACAAGUCACCAAUCAUUUUUCAUGAGAACUCAAAAUAUAGAACACUUCAUUCACUUAAUCUAUUAAUAAAAUGAAAUAAACAACUUAUAGCUUCUGAGAUGAUUCUUGUGCAGACUUUCCAAGAACAAGUUUUAUCAUUCUUUUCAACUUCUUGAUUUCUUUCUCUAAGUCUUUUACUUUUACUUCCAAAUUACUACAUUGAUGCUUGUUACCUCCUUAAAUUGGCGAACCAUACACAUCCUUGCCUUUGAUGCCUGCUCCCUAACCAACAACACGACCAUGUGCUGCUUCUCUUGUCACUUCUCGAGAUAUUUUCCAUUCAUCCACUGGCAAGCCUUGAUCUAUAACAGUGGAUCUCAUUGAUUCCAUUGUUUCCUAUAAUAAAUACAAACAUUUGUGUUAGUGCAUAUAGUAAUGAAAUCAUGCAAAUAAAUCAGGAAUAUUAUGAAAAUUUAAUAUCAAAUACACACAUGCAUUUCCUUUGCCUUGUUACUUGCCCAUGUCCCCUUACAUGAAACAUCUUGAAUAAAUCAAGUGGACUAAGUUAAGUACCUAUUUGUUACUGCAAUAAAGAAUUGAAAUUCAAUAAGAUCAUAAUAAAUAAACACACUUCUUUUAUGAUCAAAGUCAAACAUGUUCUCUUCCCAUUUAUGCUCUAUGCUUGGCCAUUGGGACGAACUUGUAGUAUGAAUAAGUUUGGACUUGGUUCAAUUCCUCUUGAUCGUUCUGCCUGUUUUCUAUAUAUAAUUUUAAAAAAAGCAUAAAAUCAAUUUGGUUAUUCUGAACCCAUUGUUGAGUACUAGAGAAUUCAUAUUUAUAGAGGGUAAAAUUAUCAUUUUAUGCUUCAAGUCUCACUAACAUUUUCACUUUUACAUGUUUAAAUCCUCUAAGCUUUUAUUAUGUGUGUUUUAUUAUAAUUUAAGUAUUUUAUAUAUUUCAGAGAUAUUUUGGCCAUUUUAUGACUAACGAGAAGUCAGACAGCAAAACUAAUGGCAUUUUUGAACUCAUAAUGGUUGAAAAUCUUAGGAGGAGCAUAAAUGGAUAUUUGGCAUAUGGUAUUGUUCACAUAUUAGGUAAUAUUCACAAGUACAACACUGUUUCACAUAUACAGUAUGAUGAAGUGGCAUUGACCGAUGAUGUGGCAGGAUGUUAUUGGACCAAAAUACUGAUGUGGCAUUUACUGAUGAUGUGGCAGCAUCUUAUGGGACCGAAAUGUUGAUGUGGUGUUGACUAAUAAUGUGUACCAACCAAUCAAAGCUUGCCAUGUGGCGCAAUCCUGAGCGUACGAAUUAUUUUCAUCUGAUGGCCAUGAUUUAUCUAUUGUAUUUAUAAAUAGAGGGCUCCUCCACCUAAUUUGACACCUUUGAAUCCAUUUUCGAGCUCCAUUUUCUAUAAUUCUCUCUCCAUCUUGUAUUUUCUACAUAUUUUAUAAAAUUAUCAUUUUACUCAUUGUUCAAUUAUAAGUGGCUAGUUUAUUUCAAGCUUGGGUUGAAGGUGAAGGCUAAACAUGAUCCAUGGGCUUAGGUAAGUUUAUUUUCUUUUUCUCUCGACAAACAAUGUAUCCUAUCUAGAUGUUGCACAGUAUACCUGCUCCCUAGUGAAGGAUCGUUACUGUCUGGCACAAUGAGCACUUAACAUCAGAUUAAUUAGAGAGAAAAUUUCCCUAUAGUAUUUUGUGGGUUGUCUUGACUCAGUAUUGACAGAGAGUAUAUAUAAGCUAUUUAGUGGAUGGUCUUGCCAUGUUGUUGAUUAUUAUCAUCUGGCACAGCAUGUUCUCGACACCACACUUAGUGGAAGAUCAUUACCCCUUGCACACUGAGCGCUUGAUGUCAUAUUUAUUAGAGUGAGAAUUAUGAGGAGUUGAAAUACCCCCUUCAUGAAUUAAUUGGAACUAAAAAAGAAAUAUUAAGCCUAUGGUGAAAUGUUGAGUAUGAAUUUAGAGACUCAAGCUUUUCAUUUGCAUUAUUUUCAUCUUUAAUUCAUUCCCGUCAUUUUAUUUUAAAUCUUAAGAUAAAAAAAUUCACUCCCAGCCAACUCACAUAUACACCUAGAAAAUUAACCCUAUGCAUAAUUAAAUCUACAUUCUCGUGGGACCGAACACAAAAUCUAUUUACAAUAGAAUCGUGCCCUUGCGAGUACAAUAAAAUGUGGACAACACCCAUCAAGAACAACUCAGGUAUAAAGUACAUUGGCAAUAUUUAUAACUUUCUUAUUCCUAUAAUGAUUCUAGCAACUAUAAUUCACUGAUGAAUUAAAAGAAAAACGAAGCUUAAGAAAGAAAAUGGCAGAAAAGUAUUAUGCUAAUAGUCAUUAUUAGUACUUUCCACCCCUCAUCCAUCCAUUUGUCAACCAUUUUACCUACCAGCAGCCACAGUAGCACUCAAGAGAUAUACUACAUCAUUUAAAGAAACAAAACCCUUUGCAGACUUUAGAGAACAAAUUCUAACCUACAGAAUAUAAUUAGAAAAGCAGCCACCACAAAGCAUAGAAGCUUCUUUGUAUAGUGGUACAAUAAUCAAAACCUGAAACAUGUCCAUUAGUAUUAAAAUUGUUGACAUCAAACAAAAAUGAAACUAAAUAUCAUUUUUGCUAAGCUCUAAAUAUGACUAUCACUACUUUAAUUUUAUUUUAUUUUUGCUGAGCACUAACACUCUUGGAUUUCCUUUGAAUGUUCCUAAAUCUCAUCUUUAAUAACUAAUCAAAGUUGACUUUCUAAAAUAGUGUUUUUCAAUCCUAUAAAACAAAGCAAAUAAAUGCAAACUCGAUUAACCAAACAAGAAAUGGUUGUGCACUUUGUGCUCCUAAAUUAUGCAAACUAUGUAGUUAAUUACACAUUAACUACACCAUCGAGAAUUAUCACAAAACAACUUUAUUACAAAUUCAUGUUAAUGGAUCAAGAAAUUGCCAAUUAAGUUUUAAGGAACUUGGUGAAAUUCAAGUCACUAAGACCUAGAAAGUAAAACUUUAAUAAGAUUGAAAAGCAAGAAAUGAAAAUAAACAACUGAAAGAAGAAUAAAAAUUACAAGUAUCAAAACUAGAUCAAGAGAUGCCUACAAAGAGUUGAUGAGUUGACUCGGAGAGACACAGAAGAUGCACAAAGUUGUGAAUCUACAACUCUAAAACCCUAGAAAAUUUAUGAUAUUAAAGAAAUAUCAUGAAGAGGGAUACGGAUUGGAGAAACUGUAGGAAAAGCUAAAAAGAGUUAAAAAUUACAAACUAAAAAAUUUUAAGUAAAUUUACUUGGAGGUGCUUCUACAUGCGAACAAGAUACAAAGAGUGAGAGAGUAGCAGAUGGUAAGAUGAAAAUAGUGUCUCCAUUUGUUCGUUUGAAUUUUCUUUUAAUCAAUGUCUUAUUUUGUUGAAGGGCUUUAUUUACUACCAAAGGGUUGGACUUUAUUUAAUUGGCUUUGUUACUUUUGUAUGAACUGAUAAUAUCUUAUUUUUGUUUUAUUUAUAUAUUUUUUUAUAUUUAUAGGGUUUAUUUCUGUUUUAUCUUUUUUAUAGGAGGUUCAGAGAUUUAAUUUUAAUUUAGUAUUAUAUUUCCUACCACAAAUUCAUUAUUAGCAAGGGCAAAUUACCCUCUGAAAACUUUAUCACUUUUUUAAUGAUUUUCCAACAACUCCUUUAUGUCCUUGUAAAAAGUGCUUAUUAUCGAGGGUAAACAAUGCCCUUGGAAAUAUUUGUUCGUUAAUAUAGCUUUUUUUUGUAGUGCGUUGGCAAUGUUAUGAAGAAAAUCUAGACUUGAAUGAUAGUUGGCUAUCUUUGUUUGGUGAGUUUGCACGUUACAGGAUUGUGUGAGAUGAUUCUAUUGUAAACACCAUGAGAUUAUAUUUGUCCCAAGGUAAACACAAAAGCAUGUUGUGCAACAUUCUAUUUCAAGGUAGGGUUGCCAAAAAAGUCCAAGCCGAGCUGCAUGGAUUGGGCCUGGAUAUGGGCUGAAAAAUAUGAAGCCCGCAUAGACUGGGCCUAAAUAAGGGCCUAGAAAAUGCCCGAGCAUUUUAAUUUAUAAAUAAAAAAAAUAUCAAAUUAAAAAAUUAAAAUACUAUAUUAACUUUUUUUUAUAUUAGUAUUUACGGGUGGGUAUGUGUUGGUUUGGUUUGGGUUUACUUUAAACCCAAAC
rnacentral:lncRNA from 1 species